rnacentral:rRNA from 1 species
GUCGAGCGGGCCCUUCGGGGUCAGCGGCGGACGGGUGAGUAACGCGUGGGAACGUGCCUUCUGGUUCGGAAUAACCCUGGGAAACUAGGGCUAAUACCGGAUACGCCCUUUUGGGGAAAGGUUUACUGCCGGAAGAUCGGCCCGCGUCUGAUUAGCUAGUUGGUGGGGUAACGGCCUACCAAGGCGACGAUCAGUAGCUGGUCUGAGAGGAUGAUCAGCCACACUGGGACUGAGACACGGCCCAGACUCCUACGGGAGGCAGCAGUGGGGAAUAUUGGACAAUGGGCGCAAGCCUGAUCCAGCCAUGCCGCGUGAGUGAUGAAGGCCUUAGGGUUGUAAAGCUCUUUUAUCCGGGACGAUAAUGACGGUACCGGAGGAAUAAGCCCCGGCUAACUUCGUGCCAGCAGCCGCGGUAAUACGAAGGGGGCUAGCGUUGCUCGGAAUCACUGGGCGUAAAGGGCGCGUAGGCGGCGUUUUAAGUCGGGGGUGAAAGCCUGUGGCUCA